UACGUAGGGGGCUAGCGUUGUCCGGAAUCAUUGGGCGUAAAGCGCGUGUAGGCGGCCCGAUAAGUCCGCUGUGAAAGUCCAGGGCUCAACCCUGGGAUGCCGGUGGAUACUGUCGGGCUCGAGUCCGGAAGAGGCGAGUGGAAUUCCUGGUGUAGCGGUGAAAUGCGCAGAUAUCAGGAAGAACACGCGUGGCGAAGGCGGCUCUCUGGGAAGGUACUGACGCUGAGACGCGAAAGCGUGGGGAGCGAACAGG
rnacentral:rRNA from 1 species